rnacentral:misc_RNA from 1 species
AGAUAUUCAUGUUUCGUAUUGUGGUUGGACAGCUGGAUGUCCGAACAUUGAUGGGGAGAAGGUUAGAGGGCUGAAUUAAGAUGGCACGAAUCGCAGGUGUUAAUAUUCCGGAU